UCCAGUGGCAGCAAUCGUGCUCCCCUCAAUGAAGAUUGUUCGCGAUAUUAAUAAUUUGGUGUAGGAGCUUUGAGUCUCUGAUAGAAGGCCAUAAUGAUGCAAUUAUAUGCAUUAAUUUUAGCAAAGCAUGGUGCAAUUUUUGUUCUCAUAUACAUGGGAAUAUACAAAUUACAUUCUACUAUUAUGUUAACCUACUUUAAAUUAAAUUGUGAAGCUUUCUUAAACAUAAGAAUUCAAGAGUCUAAUUGCUU
rnacentral:lncRNA from 1 species